rnacentral:rRNA from 1 species
CCUACGGGAGGCAGCAGUGGGGAAUAUUGCGCAAUGGGCGAAAGCCUGACGCAGCGACGCCGCGUGAGGGAUGAAGGUCUUCGGAUCGUAAACCUCUGUCAGCAGGGAAGAACGGUCACUGUGCUAAUCAGCAGUGAAUUGACGGUACCUGCAAAGGAAGCACCGGCUAACUCCGUGCAAGCAGCCGCGGCAAUACGGCGGGUGCGAGCGUGAAUCGGAAUUACGGGGCGUAAAGCGCUCGUAGGUGGUAAGUCAAGUCCAGGGUGAAAUCCCUGGGCUCAACGUGGGAACUGCCUUGGAAACUGGCAGACUGGAGUGUGUGAGAGGAUAGUGGAAUUCCGGGUGUAGGAGUGGAAUCCGUAGAUAUCACGCAGAACUCCGAUUGCGAAGGCAGCAUACCGGCGCCCAACUGACGCUGAAGCACGAAAGCGUGGGUAUCGAACAGGAUUAGAUACCCCUGUAGUC